UUGGACGUGUUCACACUCUUUACAAUUUUCUAUUCAAUCUUUUUACAAAGAUCUAAUGAUUCCGGCAUAACUAACUAAUUAUCUUAACUGAAAAAAAAAUAUUUCCAUGAGUAUUAUAUACAUAUAUCUAAGAUAGUAAAUUAGUUUAAUUAAUAACAUUUUGGAGAUGGAGAACAAUUUUUUCAUAGAUCUUUGAACGAUCUUAUAUACAAGCUAUAAUUUAGUCUUGUAAUUAUCGUCGAGAUGUGAAAAGAGAAUUAAUUUAAUAAGAUAAUCGGGCCGAUUAAGCGAUAAUUGAAACGAUCGAACAUAACAUAAAUGACAAUUUUCGAUAAGAAGAGACCACGAGAAAUGGUUUUCUCAUUAGACGAGUCGGAUUAUGGGAUUUGUCUUGAAUUUGUCGAAUCGUUCUGAUUCCUUCCGAUAUUCUCCAAGGACGUUGAUCCCAGGCUAUUGAAAAUCGCGGGAGAAGAGUAUAAACCUAGUACGACGAUAGAUCCUUUUCGUCCUACUAGGUCUUCCUUUUGACGCGACGCAUUAUCAACGUAUAUACGUAUAUCUAUCAGCAGAGUAUAUACCCACAGCAUUGAAUGGGGAUGGUGCCAUCGAUGAAGAGAAAGAGAGAGAGAGAGAGAGUGCAUCGUGUUGUGUGUUCGUGUAUACGUCGAUCCGCAUUAUGGACUAUGUUCGUAUAUUACCAGUUCUCGAUACACGAAGCCUAUGCACGUCGCAUAGAAUAGACCGGUGGAUUACGCGUUAUAUACAGUCUGUGGGAUUUAAGGGAUAUCGUGUAGUAGUACACACACAAGAGAGUACAUUUUUUCCUUCCUCUUUUUUUUCUUCUAAUUAUAAGAAGAAGCCAUUUAGAAGGAAAGAGAGAGAAAAUAUCUCUAAGGAGAUUAGUAGUCUUUUCAUUAUCAUUUAUUUAAUCGAGUUUUAUCUAAUAUUUUUCAUUUAUUUCCAUCUUUUAACUUUAUGUAAUUUUCAUAUUUUUUAGAAUUAUAUUUGAGAUUAAGUUGACCGAGAAAGAUGACUAGCAAAAGUUGUUCUUAUCUUAUAUAUUUUAUGUAUUUAGUUAUAGGGAAUUUUAAAUUAGGAUUGUGAAGAGCAUUAUAUUUAUUUACAAUUAGAAUCUAAACGAGAUUCAUGUUUUAAGUAGUAUACAUCCAUAUGUCCUAUACAUGUAUAUACAUAUAUAUUAUAUAUAGCUAUAUAGGUAUAUGGAUUGGUUCGCACGUACGUGGUGUAGAAUCUAGUCGAGCAAGCGUGCAAUACACGUUCGAGCGUGACAGCACGUGGCUACAAUAUCGAAAUCUUGAUCAGCGUAUAGAUCGAGCGAAGAGCAUUCGUCAAGGUUCUUCAAGCUCCCUACAAAAUUGUGAUACCGAUCUUUUUCCUUGCAUUAAGCCGCUCGUCACGUGUCCGAACAUUUUUUGAACGAAACGUUUCGAAUAAUACGUAAGCAUGUAGGUGUACUAUAUUGGUAUGAUUAGGGCUAAACUAAAAAGUUUGAUGAUCCCAAUGAUUCGGUUCUUAUCUUUUGUUUUCUCUUAUAAUAUAGUUUAUUCUUAUUUAAAUUGCGAAUAAAACAUUGACUUAUAAAAGAUGUAAUGAAAUAAAAUAAUCACAAUAAAUCGCUAAAACGAUA
rnacentral:lncRNA from 1 species